GCCUGCUUGGCGCAGUGGUAACGCGUUGCACUUGUACUCUUGCAGGCAUAUGCAAAGAUCAUUGGUUCAAUUCCAGUAGUAGGCA